CCGCGCCCGCUACCUGACCGUCACGGCGGUCAGGUCUGUGCGAAUUGAAUCUGGUCGUGCCGCUGGCCUUCUGGCCACCGCCAUGCGCAUCACGGAAACCACCAGCGGAACGGCUGGACAGGUCCGGCGCAGUUUCCCGGCUGAGCAAUCGACCGGGCGACGUAGAUAGCACGAUUGGUCG
rnacentral:sRNA from 17 species